UAACGGACUUGAGGUCAGGGGGCUGCAUCACGCUGGUGGCAUCCUGGGAGCUGCUUGGUAAGGGAGGAGUUGGCACUUUUGCUGGAGCUUCCCCCAACAGGUCCUCAGCAGCAACUGGGGGCGGUGCACUCUCCUCCUCCUCAGAGAUCGCGCCUUCUGUGGGAACUGGCUGGAAUUCAGGCUCGCUCCCCCCGCCCAAGGUCUCGCUCAGACUCAACAACUCCCAAGUCUUCUGUGUCUCCUGGCAGUGGAGGCUGUGAUGUUCCUGUAUUAGUGUAAAUAGGAUGUUGUGCUAAAGGUUCCAUCACCAUCAAGAACAGGAGAGGAGAGAGAGGGCAUCCUUGUUUUGUUCCUCUAUGGAUUGUAAAUUGUGGAGAAUCUCUGCCAUUUAUCCUAAUCACUGCUGUAGAAGUUACUUGGAGGAAGCAGGGGAAGUCUUCUGCUCCUGUGAUUGGUGGGCAACAGACAUGUGACUCACACUGGCCUUCUGCUCAGCGUUGCUCUUCCCUCGUGCUCUGUGUGAGGAAGCACAAGGGAGGAAUUGAAGAGCCAGAUGGUCAGGAGAGAGAGAGAGAGAGAGAGAGAGAGAAAUGGACGGUGGAGGGAAAAAGCCAGAGGGCAAGGAUGAUGGAGAAGGCAGCAGCAGAAUGGAGGGUUGUCUGGUAAGCAACCAAGGGUGAAAAUGCCAUGAAGGCAUAGUGGCUUUCGACGGAGCAAGCUGCAAUGUGGUUGAUACUGGGGCAUGAUCUGUGAUCCUUAUUACUCCUAUAUCAGCAUUUUGUACAAGAGAAAGCAGAGUGUCUGAGAGCACUAUACCAUCUAGCCGUGAAUGAGUUUUAUAAACUGAUGAGAAAAAGGUGUGCCUAUGAUCAGUCGGGUAUAAUUCUGACCAUACUUCUUUCAAAGUAUAACAUUGUAAGAUGUGUAAAAAUUGUGUUUUGGUUUGGCUCAUUGUUUGAGC